GCUUUCAGGCGCACCAGAACAUACAAAAACACACGUGUCAUAAUUGACUGCUCUGAAAUAUUCAUACAGCGCCCAUCCAACUUACUUGCUCGAAACAUCACAUACUCCAAAUACAAGCAUCACAACACAUUGAAGCUGUUGGUGGGUAUUACACCAACAGGGGCAGUGUCAUUUCUGUCCAAGUGUUGGGGCGGCCGGGUAUCAGACAAGGAGCUGACAAUCAACAGUGGUUUCCUUGACCAGCUUGAGCAUGGAGACCAGGUUAUGGCUGAUCGAGGAUUUCUUAUCCGAGAGGAACUUCUCUGCAGAGGAGCAAGCCUUGUUAUCCCAGCAUUCACGAAGGGCAAAAAUCAGCUUAGCCACAAGGAAGUCAUCAGAUCACGCAAGAUUGCCAAUGUCAGAAUCCAUGUGGAACGGGCUAUUGGCCGUAUGAAGAAAUUCCGGAUUCUGAACACAACAUGGAAUCUUAGUCUGGUGAAGAAUGCUGACAACAUUGUUGUAAUCAUUGCUGCUCUUGUAAAUCUUCUACCUCCAUUAGUGAAAUAAGAUUUCAUUUGUUGCCCCUACAUUUAUUUUAUCCUUUUUGUUGAGAGUCUGCAUUUCAUUUUUUUUUUAAAAAAGCUCUCUGGAAAAGGGCACUUUAAAUGUGCCACAUAAAUCAGAUUUUGCCAUAGCAUUGUAAUUUGAC